CCCAUUAUCUAUUCAGGAAAUUUCCAAUUUUUGGCCAAUCCGGUCAAGCAAAGAAUGUGAGGUCCUGUUCCGUCCAAUGGAAACUGGACCCAGCAGUAGGGCAACUGUGUCAGGUUAUGAAAGUUAUAAAUGUCCUUGUCUCCUUUGUUAAGGUGUGCUCUCCUGGCAAGACUGCAGGUGAGUUGCAUCCUUCCUGCAGGAAGUAAACUAGCCUUGCUGAGUCAUCCAUUGUCUCAGCAUGGACUUUUCCCAACAUUAUAAACCCGUUUCCAACAUAAAUUCUGCCAACAGACUCAUCUGUCUUCAGCAAAAGGCGUGAGCUCUGCCUUCCCCUUGGCAGUGGCGAAGUGAUAUGGAGUGUGGGCAGGGAGGUGGCGCAUUAUAGGACUCAACACCAUGCUCGUUUAUACAUAAGAUUCCUACCCAUUGGAUCACUUGAGGAAAGGAGUUCAAGACCAGCCUGGCCAAUAUGAGUUCGGGCAGAGGACAAUAUGCAAAGAUUGGGAACUAGAAAGAAAACAACAUGCCUGUUUAUUAAAUGAUUAUAAUUACCAAUGUACCAGUUAUUGUCUGGGAGUACUCAGGCCUAUACCUGUCUUGUACCAAUGGGGUAGAACUCCUUAGAACUACCUUCCCAAGAUCCCCUUGAC